UCCAGAACUCGUGGUUCCUCUUCUGCCGUAGCCUCGUCAACGCUCCCGGCAGCCUGCUUCCUGGACGCCGCCAUGAGUCUCAGUCUGACCUCUGGGUCCCCGCGGAACCGGAAGUCGGGAACCUACGGGCGGGGCGAGCGCAGUCUUGGCUCAAGUGCGCGUGCGCUGAAUGACAAAGGCUGGCGGGUAAAACGGUGGCUUACCCUGAACGAGGGCGGAAGCUUGUUGUUGGCCUUCCCUUGUGGGACCCUGGCUGUAACUAGGAGAUGCUGACGAUUGGAAGAAUUUUCUUCAGACUAGCUUCUGGCUUCAUACAUUUUCAAAACUUGAUUGACUUCUACUCCCACACGCUUCCGGUCCCGGGUGCAGUAGGACACGUUUAGAUCCUGAUUUGAACACUGGCCUUGCACCUUCAGGUCACGACUUGAGAGAAGGAAACAGAAGCACAGAGCGGUGACAUGACUUGAUCCAUCCACACGGCUGGACUGUGGCAGAGAAUGGAUUUGAACCCAGGAUCACCCCGGCCGCUGCCAGGUUGGACAUAGACUGUAGAGGCAGCACCAGGAGAGACCAUUUCAAGAAUCCAGGGGGAAGGCGAUGGUGACACGGACCAGGGAGUUGCCAUGAAGGUGGAAAGAAGUGGUCACAGUCUAGAUGGAAGGCCCCAGCGCUGACCUUGGUCUGGAAGCUAAAGACGGUGACCGAGAGGCAGACGAGGGCCGUGAUGCCCAGACACAGCAGCACGGAUGUGGUGUUGUAGUAACUGCAGGACCGGCAGGCCGGGAGGUCAGCUUCUGACUGGGUCUUCUGGUUCACCCUGCCCCGCCCCCCUGACCCGGGCCCUCUUCCCAGGCCCCCCCUUUUCUGCCAGGACCUGAUCCCAUGACCUCUGCUCACCACCCUCUCCCCUUUCCCAUGAUCCUCCCGCUCUCUGCCUCCCCAUCCUUUCUGCUGGGACCCGCCCUUUCCAACAUGCUUAGACUCAAAAUCCUCUUUGAAGCAUCUUGAAGAGGUGGGAAUUGGGGUGGGGAGGGUUUGUGCUGGUGCCUCUAGGUGGUUUUCAGGGAACUAUGUGAGCAUGAAGCUGGGGUCUUUUUGGCUGCAGCUUGAGAGGGGUCCCCUGGCUCUCCUCUGCCUCCCACCCCCAUCCCACUAACCCAGCCAUGUCCUGGAGGCCUGCCCAGAAGAGAGCAGGAGGAGAGGGCUCUACGCCAAUGUUUCGUGCCUGCCCAAACCCCACUCCAUCCAAAUGCUCCCAGGAGGGAUGGUGUUUGGGGAAGUUCCCCUUGGAGUGUAGCCAGUCCCCUUCUGUCUGUCCCCUUUACCUGGACAGCAUCCCAGUGAGGUAGGCCAUGGACAGGGUCUGAAAGGAGAAGCAGGAUGAGUGAACGCUAGGGGCCCAGACACCUGCGAGGGCCAGCCAGGGUCUCCACCCCUUGCAGGUACCCCUCGACUCUGAGUCUGCCUCACUCAUGCACACGUUUAAUUCCAGGACUUGGCCUGACCUCCUCUU